rnacentral:rRNA from 1 species
UACGAAGGGGGCGAGCGUUGUUCGGAUUUACUGGGCGUAAAGGGCGCGCAGGCGGCUCAUUUUGUCAGGCGUGAAAGCCCCGGGCUUAACCUGGGAACUGCGUUUGAUACGGAUGGGCUAGAGUUCGGGAGAGGAGAGUGGAAUUCCCAGUGUAGAGGUGAAAUUCGUAGAUAUUGGGAAGAACACCGGUGGCGAAGGCGGCUCUCUGGACCGAGACUGACGCCGAGGCGCGAAAGCGUGGGGAGCAAACGGG